GGGGGCUUGAAGAAGUCAACGCAAUCUCAUGAAAUUAGCUUAACCAUGGCAGUGAGCUAAAGGAGGAAGGCAACCAAAUCUAUUGCAUAAAACAGACGUUGUCAUGUCUUAUCUUCGUUGUUCCCCCUUCAAAUUUCAACGCCAUGGACUCCGGAAGUCACAGAUUAGAGAGGGAUCCCACCAGCUGUCAGAAUUGUCUGUUUUCCUCGGUAAUUUUCGAGUGUUUAGCCUUGAAUCCAGCUGAGUAUCUUGUUAUUUGUUCAUUAUUUGCGAGAAAGAUCGUUUCUUGAGCCGUUUUGUUGACCGUCAAGUCUUAUCUUUAAGCUUUGUCAACUUUGAUUCUUUUGUACUUUCGGAUGGAUAUUUUGCUCUUGCGACCAGUAUUUCAGAAUCCGUUCGGAGGAAAGGAAGGAUCUUUGGGUGUUCCAGAUACUGUAGAUGUUGGCCUUUUGUGUGUUUUUUGGUGCUGAACUAUUUGUCGUGAAAGUUAGAGUGAAAUUUACUCCUCCCCACCCCCCUCCAGAUGUCGGAGAAGAUGUUGUAGAUGGCGUACCAUUAGAGUCAUGUUAUGGUUUUUUUAUGAUUAUUUUUGCUUCAAUUUUAUAUUCAUGUCCGUGCUGUGAAACGCUGCUUUGCUGAAUUUCUUCUGUUAAGCUAUAUUUACCUGAUAAUCAUAGUUGUAUCUCCUUAAAAUCCGUAGAUCAGGAUGAGAAAAAUGCUAUCUUCCGUCCAUUGCGCAUGUGAAUACAUUUUAACAUAUAGUGAAAAUAUUUUUAUUUUUGGUUGGUCUUCUGAGGCUUAUUAUGGAACGUAAAUGAGAUUUACAUUUGUAUUAUUCUUAGAUUUACCAGUUUUAUAUCUCAACUACCUACUUAAAUUGCGAGUGCUCUUCAAAGCUUAAAGCCAAAACAUAAUAUUUUGACAUGGUAUUGGCACCAUGUUUCUCGUCAAACAACACUGUGAUGCCUUUUGCCGUGUGCAAUUGAACAUUUGCUACUUUAUUAAAUAUUUCUGUUCUUUGUUAGGUUUGCUGAGAAGUAUCAAACUGUUAAGUUUUUUUCUUUUCAAAGUUGUUUUGUUUACUGAAAUUAUUAAACUCCAUUGUGUAUAGAUGGUUAUGAGUACUUAAACAUUAAAAGUUGCUUAAAUGAUGCUUAAACCUCUGUUCUUCUUCUUUAUAUAAUUUUAAGUUACUGUUGCACAAUAGUGCUACCUAUGAUAUUGUGUGAUGAGCCUUCAGAAUUUUUAAAUCAAGGUAUAUGUAUUUGGCACAACCUUGUAGAUAUAGGCAGACCAAGUUUUAAUGACACUCUGCACUAAAAUUUGGAAAUUUUUCCCCUAGUACAUCACCAUCAUGGUACAGAAUGUCCCAGCACCUUAUGUGGUGGAAGAAAAUUUUUGAGGUUAUUUCCAUGAUCACGAUGACCUUGCAUUAGUUGAGGAGCUUUAGGAUCAGGUAGGUGUUCUUCAUUUUUCAUUUGUUUCUCUCAAAAGAAUAAUCGGGCGAUAUAGUUGUAGUUGGAAUGUUCUGCAAAAGCGGAUGCAUUUGGGAGAACAUGGAAUUUACGAGAUUCUUUUUAGCCAUAAAUUAGUAGAAUUGGACUAUCUGCUGAACCGAUAAUUGGCUUAUAAACAUUACGAACUAACUCUUCCUUCUUCGAUAUGCCAAGGCUACUGGCUACGGUAUGCCUUUCUGUCAGCUAAAAUGUUCAGGACUGUCUUUAUUCUUUACCAUACUGUAUGAAAGAAAGUAUCAUCCAGACUAAUUCUUGUUUGAAGAAAACAGAAGGGGAGUUCUGAAUCGGGUAUAUUUAUGCAUAUUCAAUAAUUCAGAAAACACUUUCCAAAGAUUCUAAUGGCAAUUUUAUAGAGAAAUUGAGCAAUUAAAUAUUAUCAUAAUUGAACUCACCGCCCCAAAAAUGUGGCAUUUGGGAGGAUCAAUUUAGGCGGCCAUGCCAUCACAAGUGGAGAGAAUAUCUCCAUGCAGUUCCAUGAAGAUUGACAUGAUAAUGAUUAUGUGCUCGCCUACAAUCAUGAAGAAAAGUUUGGCAUGUGAUUGCAAACUAAUGGCACAUACAACCUGCAUUACAUAAUUUGCCUCGCUGGUGGUAAGUGCUCAGAAAUCCUUGUUUCUAACAUUGUGUAAUGGAAAUAAAUCUUCCUACUUAGUGUCUUCCAUAACUCUUUCAUAUUGCAAAAAAUUUUGACCUUCUAGAGAAUUGUUCGCAUUGUCUGUAACCAUAAAUCUAGCAACUAUCAUGUAACUGUCUGAUGUUACCACUUCUUGUGUGAACAAGGAUUGAUUUUUCAUAAGCUAAAGAGCAAGUCAAAAUCGUUUCACAACUAUUGACUCCACAAGAAGAUAACUCUAUCAGAAUAAUUAUUCCUCAAAUCUCUACAUAUUUGUUUUCUUUCUUUUAUAAUAGGGUGCGAUGGCUUAUCUUGUGAACAAUUUUGUGUAUAUACGCACACACAAUCAAGUUUUACAUUUAUAUGUGUGAUUGUGUUGAAGAACUGAAACAGCCACUUUGGCGAUGAAAUAUUUACAUAAUUUGUGCUACGAAACACGAAUUUAUUCAUUGUUAAGGAAACAAAUUUUAGCUUUAAUUUCUUGUAUUUUGGGCAAACUUUUCUUUCAGGAAAGCAUAUAUCUAUCGUUCCAAGGAAAUGUUCAUGGUGGCAGUUCUAGGCUGAACAAUGGUCAUGAUAGAAACAUGGGAGAAGGAAAUUCUUCAAGAAUGGCUAGAGUUGAGCAACAGCUAGCUCUUGAUGAGGCAUUAGAUAGAGAACUGCAGGAGUCAGAGAAUCAGCUUGCUGAUACUUCAUUUGGUGAAGUUACCAGAAUUGAAGCUAGUAAUAUCACUCUUGCACAAUCUUUCACCGCAAGUGCUGAGUGCAAUUCUGCAAGCACAUCUUCUCAGUGGGAAGAGAAGAAGAUAUUGAACUAGACAAUAUGAGUUAUGAGGAGUUGCAACAAUGGGGUGAAACCUUAGGUACUGAAAGCAGAGGAUUACCAGAUGAGUCAAUUUCCUUAUUGCAAUCUUCAACAUACAAAGCAGGGUUAUUUUCCAAAAAAGACAAACAUAACAGUAUGCGUUAAUCUAAUUUGUUUAUUUAUCGUGUACAACAUUAUACUUUUCCUUAGGACUUACAGCACAGUAUAUCAUAAGAUGUAAAGCUUUUGCUGAACAUUUGACAUUUCAAGUUUGUUUUAAGAUGUUGGUCAAACUAGUACUUUGGUUU